GGAAAUGCCCGAGACGAGAGGCCCCUUUAAAUGGACGCUUCAUCGCUGUAGUGCCGAGAGAGAGGGAGGGAGAGGGGGAGCGGCAGAGAGGGAGAGGGAGAGGGAGAGAGAUCUGAUCAACAACAACACUGCUCUUCUCUGCCGCCGCUUUUACUGGAUUCCGCCGUUUCCCGCGGCCUCCGUGAACAAGAGUGGACUUGGACGAUGAGGACCUGGAUGACGUCAUGAACAACAACGGGCAGUGUCCCGUAUCCCUGUCGCCCAUCUCCUAAACUUCACCAAGAAGUGCAAUUUAAAAAAAAAAAAAAAAGAAACCUCGCAGGUCCCCGUCAGUGAUCUUGGUCUUGAUCCUGUCAUGUAUCUGACCGACGCGUCCGACGGCUCAUCCAGGCUCAAAAAAACGCCUCAUUUAGCGGCAGUCGAAGCCGAGGCCCUAACUGUACAUAUUGUUUAUUUAACGCCCCUUUGGGGGGACUGUGAGCGGAUUGUGUUGCGUCGCUCUCUGCUCUACACCUCGGCAGGCCGUAGAUUAUCAGGACUUGAGAGAAGGAAGUGUCUUUAUUCUUCAGAGCUUCUUAACAAGGGCUAUACGUUUCUAAAGUUGCACCGAGCAAAUGGUCUUUGGAGGAAAGCAGCUUCUCGCCUGCCUGUUUUCUGGUGAGGGUUUCUGGGCCUGUGGGUUUGAACACAGACCUCCUGAUGUCUUAACACACAGGUGAAAUGUUACGCUUUGGUUGUGCAAUGACUAUCGUUCUUUACUCUCACUCCAAUGCAAGUGGUGCACUAUUCAGUGGGCAAAAGGCAAAAAAAAAUGCCUGCUAAAUAUUUAUUGUUUCAAAAAAGGAAUGGGAAAAAACACGUUGUUGUGUUGUUAUGGCUUCUAAGUGUUUUUUACUUGUUUCUGAACGGAAGUUGCGUCAGACUUCUGUAACUUGAGAUUCAAUACGUUCCCAAAUGGUGCACUUUGUAGGAAUGCCUGUUAUGUGCCGUGAAAUGUUGCAGAAUUCUAUGCAUGGAGUCUGUUAAAGCAUCAAAACACGUAACUGGUAUCCUGUUAAUAAGGGCUAAUGUAGAAGAAUUUCAAACCGCAGCACCGUUAUGCUCUUUAGGUCAUGCAGAGUCAACAUUUUCCUGAGCUCCUUGUUGGCUCGGCCUGCUGACUCAGCAGUAAAAUGUUGUGAACAACAACGGAUUUAUGGAGGUUGUUGGCUUUCUAAGGCAGGGUUUCCCAGUUUGCAAGGCAACUGUGAUAAAACAUGUACAGUCGUAGUUCUUUUGAUUGAAUUGCCAAAAGGCAUUUGACGCUGUAUUACAACGAUGAUUGAAAUAGAUUGGCACGCAAAUAUAUGUCCUAAUGAACAACACUUUGUAUUGAUAUUUACAUCAGUAAUCUGCUUAAGCUACACCCAGAUGGUGUCAGGUUUUCUUUUGGGGUUCAAGUGAACUCUUUAAAGAUAAUACCAUCCAUUACUUCACAAUUACAGUAUGACAUCAUGAAAACAAGCAGCUCUCUAUUAUUCGUUCUCACUGCUGAGACAAUCUUAACACUGAAGCUUUUUGGUGAUUUGGGGGAUUUGCAGUGGAUUUUGUAAUGCCAUGCUACUGUCGCUGAAGGCUCACGCUGAUGUCAGUUACUUAGUUGGCUGUGAAAUUGUUACUUGUUGACUUUUACCUCUUUUUGUGUCAUGGAAGCACUGCAUUUCACAGCCCAAAUGACUCAGUGAUUGUCUUUGGGAUUGUGGCUAACUUUUGCAUGGAAAUGAUUGACUUUUCUUAAUGCAUCUCCAGAAAUUAAAAAUGAAUCUUUGUGGAAUUUGUCGAUAUAA
ensembl:lncRNA